GACGAACGCUGGCGGCGUGCUUAACACAUGCAAGUCGAACGGAAAGGCCCUGCUUUUGUGGGGUGCUCGAGUGGCGAACGGGUGAGUAACACGUGAGUAACCUGCCCUUGACUUUGGGAUAACUUCAGGAAACUGGGGCUAAUACCGGAUAGGAGCUCCUGCUGCAUGGUGGGGGUUGGAAAGUUUCGGCGGUUGGGGAUGGACUCGCGGCUUAUCAGCUUGUUGGUGGGGUAGUGGCUUACCAAGGCUUUGACGGGUAGCCGGACUGAGAGGGUGACCGGCCACAUUGGGACUGAGAUACGGCCCAGACUCCUACGGGAGGCAGCAGUGGGGAAUAGUGCACAAUGGGCGGAAGCCUGAUGCAGUAACGCCGCGUGCGGGAUGACGGCCGUCGGGUUGUAAACCGCUUUCGCCUGUGACGAAGCGUGAGUGACGGUAAUGGGUAAAGAAGCACCGGCUAACUACGUG
rnacentral:rRNA from 1 species